rnacentral:rRNA from 1 species
UACGUAGGGCGCAAGCGUUUGUCCGGAAUUAUUGGGCGUAAAGAGCUCGUAGGCGGCCUGUUGCGUCCGCUGUGAAAUCCCGGGGCUCAACCCCGGGCCUGCAGUGGAUACGGGCUGGCUAGAGGCAGGCAGGGGAGAACGGAAUUCCCGGGUGUAGCGGUGAAAUGCGCAGAUAUCGGGAAGAACACCCGUGGCGAAGGCGGCUCUCUGGGACGGUACUGACGCUGAGACGCGGAAA